GACGAACGCUGGCGGCGUGCCUAAUACAUGCAAGUCGAGCGGACCAAUAGAAGCUUGCUUCUGUUGGUUAGCGGCGGACGGGUGAGUAACACGUGGGCAACCUGCCUGUAAGACUGGGAUAACUUCGGGAAACCUAAGCUAAUACCGGAUAAUUCAUCCCCUCGCAUGAGGGGAUGCUGAAAGUCGGUUUACGCUGACACUUACAGAUGGGCCCGCGGCGCAUUAGCUAGUUGGUGAGGUAAUGGCUCACCAAGGCGACGAUGCGUAGCCGACCUGAGAGGGUGAUCGGCCACACUGGGACUGAGACACGGCCCAGACUCCUACGGGAGGCAGCAGUAGGGAAUCUUCCACAAUGGACGAAAGUCUGAUGGAGCAACGCCGCGUGAGCGAUGAAGGCCUUCGGGUCGUAAAGCUCUGUUGUUAGGGAAGAACAAGUAUCGGAGUAACUGCCGGUACCUUGACGGUACCUAACCAGAAAGCCACGGCUAACUACGUGCCAGCAGCCGCAGUAA
rnacentral:rRNA from 1 species